rnacentral:misc_RNA from 1 species
AUCCACACCAAGAAUUGAAGUUCCUAUCCAAUUAACUUAAUAUCAUAAAUUACUGAAUAUGUACAAAAGCAUUCAUUAACGAUUAAACAUAUGAUGAAACAAAUGCUCACCAUUAAUUGUACUGCCCCUCCAACCAUAAUUUUAAUGCUCCUUCAGUAGAACUAGAUGUUUUCAUCUACCCAAAUUUCCUGCAAUUUGUCCGAACAGUACAAACCCAAAUAACACCACCCCACCCCCCGGGGGCCUUUUCCCCACUUUGAUGUAUCACUUCAUGUUUAAUUGAAAUUAAAUCUUCAAAGGAGUAAUUUUCUACAAUUUUAAAAUGUUUCUUUUCUAGAUUAACUCCAGGAACAGGGCCUCCUGUUUGCUGGUCAGGCCAAGUUCAUUCAGUGUCAGUGCACUUUCUCCAUCACUGAAAGCACGCCUUGGGUAUGGCCUUACCUGUUCAAGUAACAAAAAUUAGAGAUGAAGGCAGAAUGUGUCAACUCUGGCUACUUCCAUUAAUUCAAGCAUGAACAUAUACACGAACAAAAUUUUCUCACCAACAACAAAUCAAAGAUACAUCAGGGAUGUUCACAACAGUUAACUAUAGUAUUGCAGAAAAGCACAGAUGAACAAUUACCAGUCUAUAAGUGCCAGGCUUGACCACCCUACCAAUAUCUAUGAAGUCAAAAAGAGACUGCAAGUUGUCAGAUUUGAGAAAUCGGCGGCCACGACGGGUACCAUCAGGCAUCCGCACCAAAAGUGUCACAGCAUUCUCAUCAUUGGAUGCUGGUUCCUGAGGCAGAGAAGCUUCUUUUGCUGCCAACAGUCUUUCAAAUUCCUGCUAGUGCUAGGAAGAAUCACACAUCCAGCUAUAAACAAACACUAUACAUUAACUUAUAAAAGCUAUCCCCUCCACUCCAGCCAGAAGCAUACAGGAAAAAAAUGGCUUUGGUCAACGGCAGUAUAUAGUACAGCCAUAUUAAAAACCAAAAACAUGAAAAAUUAAGGAAAAGGAUAAGGCAAGGAUACAUGAGCACCUAAAACUUCUUUUGCAGCAAAAGAAUAGCAUAUUACAAAUUGAAAAUAAGUAACAUUUAGAUCAUUGCCUCAGUCUCGGUUUAAAAUGAGAUAACAUAUAAAUAGUACCUGCUCUUCUUCCAAUUUCUUUCGAGAUUUUUCCUCUUUUUCCCUUUCUUCUUCAAGCGAAGCUUUCCUAGCAGCUUCUUCUUGCAAACGACGGGCUUCAGCUUCCUCCAUGGCCUUCAUCUCCUUUUCCCUGUCAGCUGCCAAUGAUGCGAGAUACUCGUCAUCCUGCUGUUCACGGAUCAACCGCUGAGAUUGUAAGGAUGGUGAAGGGGGACGAGGCAUCCGCUGUGAAUAAGGGCCUUCACUCUGAAUGAACUGAUGAGGUGCAUAUGGAAAGUGAUAUCCAGUCCCUUCAGGAAUUCCACCAAACAUUGCAGCCUCAAGCAUGACAGCUUCAUCAUGCUCCUCAGAAGAUAUGCCUCCCCACUCAUCAGAAUGGAAGGCAUUUCCAUUGUGCUGGGUGUGACUGCUUAUAUUACUCUGUCCAGGACUGGAUGGUGGACUAGCCUCAAUGACUCCAACUUCUCUGGCUGAUUCAAUAGAGCCAGAAGAUGUACGUCUUGAUCUAUGCCUAACAAGAGGCUGCUCAUCCACAUCUUCAGAUUCCUCUUGAAUAGAUAACUUUCCUGUCCUAAACCUUCCAUUUGAGGUCACUACCGUCCCCAACUCCACCUCAUCUAGCUUAGAAGCUCCCAUUUCUGGUGCUCUGGUUUUUCCCUGAUGCUCUCGCAAUGCUUUUUCUUGCUCUGCAGCCUGAGCCUCCUGUUUUGAAGCUUCUAUGGCAGCACGAAUCAUUUCUUCUUCAAUGUCAUUGCCGUAGUCUGGCAACUUAUCAAAUUCAGGAGCACUCGGUCUACUAUGAGUCUCAUGAGCACUGCCACUAGAAAUAUCACCUCUUUGCUCAGUCUGUUGUGCAGACCAUCCAGUUAGAUCAGUUGAAAUUUCAUUGUCAUCUUCAUCAUCAACUAUAACAGUCCCAUGAAUAUCUGGGCCCAGUGCAUGUUCAGUUCCAGUUACAUCCUCAAUGAUAGGGGCAUGACCAGAAUGGCUGGAUACAUCAUUGUCAUCCUUGACCUCUAUAGGUAUCUCUCUCCUCUCUCUUGGGUGUGAAACAAAUGGUUCACGGUUCAUAAAGUCAGAACCACCAUCAAACAGACUUCUUCGAAAGUGUGGAUCAAGAAAUGAGAAUGGGUUCAUUGUACUAGCCUCAGAUAGAACUGAAAGAGGAUUUCUUCUAGAUGCAACUUCAACUGGAUCAUCUAUAUCCAUGAGAUCAUCUUGAGGAGCAACAAUAGGAGUUUCAUUGAUAGUGCUUCUCUCUCCUUCACUGAAAUGUGCAUUGACAGCUGCAUUGAGAUCACCAUGAUGCUCCUAUUGCAGGAAAGAAAAUGUAUUAAAGGACAGGAAGCAAUUCAUUUAACCAAUUGAAUGUAGAAAAGUUAACCAAUUGAAUGUAGAAAAUUUACCAUCAAGAAGCUUGGCCCAAAAUUCUAACCAGCUAAAAGCAUAAUCCUUGUAUCUUAAAAUCAAAUAGGCAAGACAAGUCCAAAAUCUAAUAUUCACUUGUGGAAGCAACAAUAUGUGAUGGAAGAGAAUAAAACUAGUAUUCACUUGUGCAAGCAACAAUACGUGAUUGAAGCAUACAAAUAAGAAUAAAAUUAUACAAAUUAGGGUGAAACAAAACUGCAUAAAAAGUUCCUACUUCCUACUCCCAAGCAUUCCAUGGGAAAACAUGCGGUCAUGCAGCAUUUUUUUUAUCAUAUUAUCUAAUCAUUUGUAUGCUUUCUUCUAACUUUUGGCCCCAUUUUCUUUUGCAAGCCCAAGAAACCAAUUUUAUGACUCCAUCAUCAAAGCUAACUUAUACUUAUUUUUCAAAAAGCAUCUGCCUUUUUUUUAUUUUCAAUCUACAAUAAAAGGCAGAAUUUGAAAUAGGUGCAUGCAAAGCAGCAUAUUAUGACAUUAGAACCCCUGAAAAACGAAGAAGUCCUUCAAACACUUUUAAAGCUCUAAGAUGAAAUGACCUAUCAAUAAAAUAGUAUCAAUUCACCCCACUGCUCACAGAGAUUCGUCUAAUCUAAUACUGGCAUUAAAGCACCAGUGCUUCCCACCGCUUGGAGUUGGAAUUGCAACUACAUCGCUUUUUCCCUAAUCUAGAAAGCUAUAAAAUAGAAACAGGUUAGUACUUGUAGAUAAAGGCAAUAAAUAUUUGCACAAUAAGGCACAAAACCAAUGGACUAAAGUGAUUAAUUUAAGACAGAACUCUGUGACGUCAGCAAUGCAUGCACCAGAACUCCUAUUAAACAGCCUCAGGGUAAACACAAUUUCAAAAAUAACAAUACACUGUUUGGUAACAGUUUCAGCUACUCUAUACCUCACAACAUUCCACCAGUUCAGAAGGAAGUCAAAAUACAAUUGGGAACCAAUACAAUGAACCAAUUUUAGAACAAAACAA